rnacentral:sRNA from 1 species
GCCUCUUCGGGACCCUGAAUAACUGGGCCUGCUGGAUGGGUCAAGUGGUGCCCAAACAGGGACCCGAAGCAAGGUCAACUACCGGAUGACGAAGACAAGAGAGCUGCAGUGGGAAUUGAGGACUCUUAAGGCCGUAUCGCUCGUGCGUUGCUGGAGAGGGAGUACAUUUUCAUCGCUUGGAGACCGGAAGAGCUGAGGAGAACCAGAGAGACAACGAACAAGAUGAGAUGCCCACCACAUAUCGGGAGAGGCUCAAUUUCCACAGUCUCUUAAAUUAAUGCCAUUUGGCCCCUACCCUUUCACCCGUGGGCUCAAGUAAGAGGAAU